UGGGGAAUAUUGGACAAUGGGCGAAAGCCUGAUCCAGCAAUACCGCGUGAAUGAUGAAGGCCUUAGGGUUGUAAAGUUCUUUUAGUUGGAAAGAUAAUGACGGUACCAACAGAAAAAGCCCCGGCUAACUCCGUGCCAGCAGCCGCGGUAAGACGGAGGGGGCUAGCGUUGUUCGGAAUUACUGGGCGUAAAGGGCGCGUAGGCGGAUUAGUAAGUUGGAAGUGAAAGCCCGGGGCUUAACCUCGGAACUGCUUUCAAAACUGCUAGUCUUGAGUGAAGUAGGGGAUGAUGGAAUUCCUAGUGUAGAGGUGAAAUUCUUAGAUAUUAGGAGGAACACCGGUGGCGAAGGCGGUCAUCUGGACUUCAACUGACGCUGAGGCGCGAAAGCGUGGGGAGCAAACA
rnacentral:rRNA from 1 species